GAUGAACGCUGGCGGCGUGCCUAAUACAUGCAAGUCGAGCGAAUGGAUUAAGAGCUUGCUCUUAUGAAGUUAGCGGCGGACGGGUGAGUAACACGUGGGUAACCUGCCCAUAAGACUGGGAUAACUCCGGGAAACCGGGGCUAAUACCGGAUAACAUUUUGAACCGCAUGGUUCGAAAUUGAAAGGCGCAUUCGGCUGUCACUUAUGGAUGGACCCGGGUCGCAUUAGCUAGUUGGUGAGGUAACGGCUCACCAAGGCAACGAUGCGUAGCCGACCUGAGAGGGUGAUCGGCCACACUGGGACUGAGACACGGCCCAGACUCCUACGGGAGGCAGCAGUAGGGAAUCUUCCGCAAUGGACGAAAGUCUGACGGAGCAACGCCGCGUGAGUGAUGAAGGCUUUCGGGUCGUAAAACUCUGUUGUUAGGGAAGAACAAGUGCUAGUUGAAUAAGCUGGCACCUUGACGGUACCUAACCAGAAAGCCACGGCUAACUACGUGCCAGCCGCCGCGGUAA
rnacentral:rRNA from 1 species